CCUACGGGAGGCAGCAGUGGGGGAUAUUGGACAAUGGGGGAAACCCUGAUCCAGCGACGCCGCGUGAGUGAAGAAGUAUUUCGGUAUGUAACGCUCUAUCAGCAGGGAAGAAAGAAAUGACGGUACCUGAGUAAGAAGCCCCGGCUAACUACGUGCCAGCAGCCGCGGUAAUCCGUAGGGGGCAAGCGUUAUCCGGAAUUACUGGGUGUACAGGGAGCGUAGACGGUACUGCAAGUCUGGAGUGAAAGGCGGGGGCCCACCCCCCGGACUGCUCUGGAAACUGUGUAACUGGAGUGCAGGAGAGGCAGGCGGAAUUCCUAGUGUAGCGGUGGAAUGCGUAGAUAUUAGGAGGAACACCAGUGGCGAAGGCGGCCUGCUGGACUGUAACUGACGUUGAGGCUCGAAAGCGUGGGGAGCAAACAGGAUUAGAUACCCUAGUAGUC
rnacentral:rRNA from 1 species